rnacentral:sRNA from 1 species
UUCAUGCCGUAACAUGAAGCGAACUGCCCCGUAAGGCUGUAGUAAACUUAAUGUGGCUAU